CUGACAUGUAAGGCGGUAGUUACAAUCUAAUUUGAGUAUUAUCCGAGUUAGUCCGAGCUCAGCAAAAUGUAUCGGAAGUUAUCGGAAUUACCGGGGGGGCCCUGGGGAGACUCGCUUGUUUGACCUGAGUUGUUAGCGGGGUGGGAUGAGGCGACCCUCCGUCCCUAAUCAGCUGGGGACCCCUAAACUGGAACAUGGGUACUGGUCUGGUGGGGGGGCUUAGGUACCUGCAAAUAAGUUCUCUGGGAAAGUUUGGGUACUGUGUGUUGAAUAAUCACCUUGAGCCCGCCAGAAGAGAUGGCCUUCCCACCUCCCCUCAUCCCACUACCUGCAGGAGUGUGCUGCGCUCCAGCUGAGCCAUAGUUUUGCGUGUUUGUCCUCACUGGAUUGCAACCGGAAUGCUAGCCGUUCGUGGUCGUAAGUCGAGUGAACUCUAUUUUUCACCUCCUGAAUACUAAGGGGUUCUGGACUUUUCCAUCUGCUUGCUAUGCUAGUCUUGGCAGCUAACAAUAUGUGAUAGAUAACCAACUUGUGUGGGGAGGCCAAUGUUCCGGCGUGGAUAUGUAGGAGAUAACAUUCUGGGUGUAGUGGGAUGGUAAGCUCUGUGACCUCUUUUAUCAGAAUUCUGACCUGUUGCCAAAAUUGUGUCAGUUUUGUG